rnacentral:rRNA from 2 species
AGACCCGAAACCCGGUGAUCUAGCCAUGGGCAGGUUGAAGGUUGGGUAACACUAACUGGAGGACCGAACCGACUAAUGUUGAAAAAUUAGCGGAUGACCUGUGGCUGGGGGUGAAAGGCCAAUCAAACCGGGAGAUAGCUGGUUCUCCCCGAAAGCUAUUUAGGUAGCGCCUCGUGAAUUCAUCUCCGGGGGUAGAGCACUGUUUCGGCUAGGGGGCCAUCCCGGCUUACCAACCCGAUGCAAACUGCGAAUACCGGAGAAUGUUAUCACGGGAGACACACGGCGGGUGCUAACGUCCGUCGUGAAGAGGGAAACAACCCAGACCGCCAGCUAAGGUCCCAAAGUCAUGGUUAAGUGGGAAACGAUGUGGGAAGGCCCAGACAGCCAGGAUGUUGGCUUAGAAGCAGCCAUCAUUUAAAGAAAGCGUAAUAGCUCACUGGUCGAGUCGGCCUGCGCGGAAGAUGUAACGGGGCUAAACCAUGCACCGAAGCUGCGGCAGCGACACUCAGGUGUCGUUGGGUAGGGGAGCGUUCUGUAAGCCUGCGAAGGUGGCCUGUGAGGGUUGCUGGAGGUAUCAGAAGUGCGAAUGCUGACAUAAGUAACGAUAAAGCGGGUGAAAAGCCCGCUCGCCGGAAGACCAAGGGUUCCUGUCCAACGUUAAUCGGGGCAGGGUGAGUCGACCCCUAAGGCGAGGCCGAAAGGCGUAGUCGAUGGGAAACGGGUUAAUAUUCCCGUACUUGGUGUUACUGCGAAGGGGGGACGGAGAAGGCUAUGUUGGCCGGGCGACGGUUGUCCCGGUUUAAGCGUGUAGGUGUGUGUUCCAGGUAAAUCCGGUUCACUUUAACACUGAGGCGUGA